rnacentral:rRNA from 1 species
UCCUACGGGAGGCAGCAGUGGGGAAAUUGCGCAAUGGGGGAAACCCUGACGCAGCGACGCCGCGUGGAGGAUGAAGGUCUUCGGGUUGUAAACUCCUUUUCUUGGGAAAGAUAGUGACGGUACCCAAGGAAUAAGCCACGGCUAACUCUGUGCCAGCAGCCGCGGUAAU